CGGCGGCGCUUCCUCUCCCCCGUCCCAGCCACCCCUCCCCGGCGAGCUUGUGCUCUUCUCUCGGCGUCGCCGGCGUGCUCGCCCUCCACUGGGUCUCUGGUCUGUGGGUGACAUGCGGCGGCCUUGGCCUUGGACCCGGGCACUAUGACAUUGUCAAGCAGUCUUGAAAUCGGCUUCACUGCCUCAGGGUUGAAGAACAUUGCUGAUCUGAUGAGGCAUUCACACAGUGGCACAGAGGAUGUGACGUGAGGAAAAACGACGAAUUACGAUAUCCCUCCCAGUGCGUGAAUAUGAUCAACUCAAGAAGCUUUGAACCUCCUUCUCAUCUGGUGAGAACCAUCCCCCGAUUUCACUAUGCAAAGACAAAAUAUUCAGCAUCAGUUCUGUAUUGCUCUGAACAAAUAUUUGCCAGACUCUGCGAGUUCCUCAGGAAGAUCCUCUCCUGCCGAGCAUUAUUCCGUGCCAUCUCAUCCUCCUAAUGCAUGUGUUAACAAGGGUCCGUAUUCAACCGUUCGUGGAUGAAGUACUCCAGCGCUGCUGAUAUCUUCUCCAUGAAUUCCGUCCCUGGCAUCUUGACAACAGGAUUCUGAAGCUCGUACGUAUCUCGGGGCAUCACCUCUUUCCCCUGAGCUCUGAAUAUCUCCGUCAAGAGGAUCGCUUCAGCCUCCUGUUUUGAAGUACCUCUGUCGCAGCUUGGUCAUCUUGGACAUAGGGGCGACACCAUCUGCGGUUGGAAUUUGUAGGUGGAUGAUGCAUAUCAUGGG